AUGAGAAGGACAGCUUCAGGCCCUGAGCUGCAUGGCUGGAGGGAGAAAAGAGCCUCUACCGGCCUGAUUCUCUCCUUUCCGGUGUUUCCAGCGUUCUUCUUCUGGGUGGAUUUCUUAUGUCCUCAAUUAGAGGAAAGUUUGGGCAGGAACUCCCGCUCUACCAUUUUGCCCCCGCUCAAGUACAGCACAGCACUUGACACAUCAUGUUUGUUGAUGGCAUUGGAUACAACUGCGGUCUGGUUUCCCUUCGCAGCCAGGAAUCCAGGAAUGCACCCCCACCCUGCGGCCGCCUCUCCUCCGGGGCCAGCUGCUGCGCUGGUCCCGGGUAACCUGACGCCGGCCGCUUCCCCUCCCGCCCGGGGGCGGGGGGGGGGGGGGCUGUGGCCGCCAAUGGCCGUGGCCGCCAAUGGCCGUGGCCAGAGCCUCCGCCUGGGCUUGGGCCCCUCUUCGCGCCGCCCCCGCCAGGCUGGAGCGGGGCAGUCCGAGGCGGAGGGCCUGCCGGAGCACUGCCUGGCUCCCGUUCCCAGCGCCCACCUGCCACCCUCUGCAGGUCUCGGCUCCGACCCAGCCCGGACACCUCUGCUCCCUGCCUUGAGCCCAGGAGUCCAGGCUACUGCCCCAGGGCGCCUGGGCAGUCACAGAUGGCGGCCCCCAGAGGGACACGCCAGGGGCUUUCCCAGCCCGGGAGUCAGGACACUUGGCUCUGGCCCCUCUCCACUGUUUGACCUGCCUGGAGACCUUGUGGUACGAGAGCCUCCAAGCCUCAUCUGUAGCUGGGGCUGGGCCAUGUGCAUCUGAGUGGAGUGAUGCGAGGGUGAAGGGUGUGAAAGUCUCUCUGUGUUGCCCAGGGGUCAAGGUCAAGCCCAAGAUGCAGUGGCCGCCAGCAGCUGCCUCGCCCGCGGCAGAUGCAGAACCGCAGCUCCUCCCGCCACCAUCCAGGGAACUCCUUAGCUCUAGAGGAGGAGCCUAACAAGGGCACUUGGCUUUCCUCCACAAUCCCCAGCACGAGGCACUUCCUGCAGCUCCUCACUUCCCAUGUAGAAAUCAGCUCUGCGUUUCAGCAGCCCUGGGAGAGGAGGCUGGAAAUAGAUGCUAGGCCAGCAGGAUGGUGCACAGGCGGGACACCUUUCAGCUGCCUGUUUCAUCUCCCCUACAGGAUACUCGCUAGGGUGUAAGAGGUGUGUUAGAGGAAGCACUCACUGAGUUACCUUCUAUAGGCUACAAAUACUGAUGUAUUUAUCUGUACCUUGGGUCACGGUACCCAGAAGAAAAGCAAAGGAGAGCUCAGAAAAUACAUUCUAGUCUCAAAGAGGAGGGAACAGAAAAGAGGAUGUCUUUGUCAGUCUACAUCAUGUUAACAUUCACAGGCCGGGCGCGGUGGCUCAUGCCUGGAAUCCCAGCACUUUCGGAGGCCGAGGAGGGCAGAUCACAAGGUCAGGAGAUCGAGACUAUCCUGGCUAACAUGAUGAAACCCCAUGUCCACUAAAAAUACAAAAAAUUAGACCCUGUCUCUACUAAAAAUACAAGACAUUAGCUGGGCGUGGUGACACGUGCCUGUAGUCCCAGCUACUCAGGUGGCUGAGGCAGGAGAAUCACUUGAACCUGGGAGGCGGAGGUUGCGGUUAGCUGAGAUGGCACCACUACACUCCAGCCUCGGUGACAGAGCGAGACUCUGUCUCAAAAAAAGAGAAAAGAAAAUUCACAGCCUCCCCUUGCCCCCCAUGAUGGCAGGGCAUGGGUCACCUAUGGUGAUGAGGACAUAUGAAGGUCCCUGAGUUCUUCACUUUUCUACCCAUGU
rnacentral:lncRNA from 13 species